GUUGUAUAGGUCCCAAAUGCGGAUUCAUAUAUAAACAAUCUUAUAGUAUUAAAAAGUAGACGUGGGUGUAAUGACAUAUGUAUUUUUCUCUCACAAAAAUAUGUCUAAGCCACGAGACAAGUAAAGAGAGAAAUACGUAUUGAACUAUGGAAAAAAGAAACAGUUCCGAAGAAAACUCAGAUGUCCCAGCUUUUACUAGCAUGUAAACGCACCAUCUACACACAAAUCUUGGAGCUUCCACCGAGGCGUGAAAUGAGUCUCAAAAAUAGUUGUGCACUCGUAACCGGAUUUGUGUGUAACUGCAGUUUUGUGUGUGCGUACCAGGUGAUUUGUGUGUAACUGCAGGUUUGUG